rnacentral:rRNA from 1 species
GACGAACGCUGGCGGCGUGCUUAACACAUGCAAGUCGAACGAUGAAGCCCAGCUUGCUGGGUGGAAGAGUGGCGAACGGGUGAGUAACACGUGAGUAACCUGCCCCUGACUCUGGGAUAAGCGCUAGAAAUGGCGUCUAAUACUGGAUAUGACCUAUCACCGCAUGGUGUGUAGGUGGAAAGAUUUAUCGGUUGGGGAUGGACUCGCGGCCUAUCAGCUUGUUGGUGAGGUAAUGGCUCACCAAGGCGACGACGGGUAGCCGGCCUGAGAGGGUGACCGGCCACACUGGGACUGAGACACGGCCCAGACUCCUACGGGAGGCAGCAGUGGGGAAUAUUGCACAAUGGGCGCAAGCCUGAUGCAGCAACGCCGCGUGAGGGAUGACGGCCUUCGGGUUGUAAACCUCUUUUAGUAGGGAAGAAGCGCAAGUGACGGUACCUGCAGAAAAAGCACCGGCUAACUACGUGCCAGCCGCCGCCGUAAUAC